rnacentral:rRNA from 1 species
GGGUGUAAUCAUACCAGCACUAAUGCACCGGAUCCCAUCAGAACCUUGCAGUUAAGCGUGCUUGGGCGAGAGU